rnacentral:rRNA from 1 species
AUGGGAACGCGAAGAACCUUACCUAGACUUGACAUCUCCUGAAUAGUGUAGAGAUACAUGAAGCCCUUCGGGGCAGGAAGACAGGUGGUGCAUGGUUGUCGUCAGCUCGUGUCGUGAGAUGUUGGGUUAAGUCCCGCAACGAGCGCAACCCUUAUUACUAGUUGCUAACAUUAAGUUGAGCACUCUAGUGAGACUGCCCGGGUUAACCGGGAGGAAGGUGGGGGAUGACGUCAAAUCAUCAUGCCCCUUAUGUCUAGGGCUACACACGUGCUACAAUGGUGGGAACAAAGAGAUGCAAUACCGCAAGUGGAGCUAAACUCAAAACCCCAUCCCAGUUCGGAUUGUAGGCUGAAACUCGCCUACAUGAAGCUGGAGUUGCUAGUAAUCGCGAAUCAGAAUGUCGCGGUGAAUACGUUCCCGGGUC